GACGAACGCUGGCGGCGUGCCUAAUACAUGCAAGUCGAGCGAAUCAAUAGGAGCUUGCUCCUGUUGGUUAGCGGCGGACGGGUGAGUAACACGUGGGCAACCUGCCUGUAAGACUGGGAUAACAUCGGGAAACCGAUGCUAAUACCGGAUAAUUCAUUCCCUCUCAUGAGGGAAUGUUGAAAGUCGGUUUCGGCUGACACUUACAGAUGGGCCCGCGGCGCAUUAGCUAGUUGGUGAGGUAACGGCUCACCAAGGCGACGAUGCGUAGCCGACCUGAGAGGGUGAUCGGCCACACUGGGACUGAGACACGGCCCAGACUCCUACGGGAGGCAGCAGUAGGGAAUCUUCCACAAUGGACGAAAGUCUGAUGGAGCAACGCCGCGUGAGCGAUGAAGGCCUUCGGGUCGUAAAGCUCUGUUGUUAGGGAAGAACAUGUACCGGAGUAACUGCCGGUACCUUGACGGUACCUAACCAGAAAGCCACGGCUAACUACGUGCCAGCAGCCGCGGUAA
rnacentral:rRNA from 1 species